AAGGAGCGGGGCAUGCGUGAGGGAUGGUUGGCGCACACAAGGAGAUUGGCUGAGGUUGGAGAUCCCUUCUUUCUUACAAUCAAGAGUUGGUUGUUGAGAUAUCUUUGAUUCUCUUAAAAAGAGAAUCAGAAGAGAUAAAAAAUUCGAUCGACAAUCCAAGGAGUGAUCUCUGUAAGGGAGCUAGCAUUCAAGUGAGAUCGGGAUCUUCUAAUCAAAUCAGUCUCAUACCGAUACUUGUAGAGGCCAAACACUUGUGCGGCUUCAAAAGGACCUUGAAGACAUCCAUAGAUCAUUAGAUCACGGAUUCAAUGGAUCAUGAAGAUAUCUAUGGAUUAUCGGAUCACGAUUGGGUUCAAUUAGGCUCAAUUGGUCUAAUCUAGCUUGAACCCAAAUGCAUUCAAGAGCCAAGAAGGAGAUCCAAGGGUUCAUCAUGGAAGUACUACAACCAAUGGUGGAGAUCUAGGUGCCUAAGAUGAAGAAUUAGGGUGAAAAGAAAUCAAUGGUCAAAGAUAAAUCAAGGAAGAUCUAAAGGCCACCAACUCUUCGAGCAUUUUCCCAUGGAUUGGAGAUAAAAUCAAGGGUUAAUUGAAGAUUGGGUUCAAUCAGGCUCAAUUUGGUCUAAUCCAGCUUGAAUCCAAAUACAUUUAAGAGCCAAGAAGAAGAUCCAAGGGUUCAUCAUUGAAGCAUUGCAACUGAUGGUGGAGAUCUAGGUGCCUAAGAAGAAGAAUCAAGGCAAAAAGAAAUCAAUGGUCAAAGAUAAAUCAAGAAAGAUAUAAAGGCCACCAACUUUUGGAGCAUUCUCCCAUAGAUUGAAGAUAAAAUCAAGGAUUGGAAGCUAAUCAAUCAAGCAUCCAAUGGUCCUAAUUAUUGGCACCAAGAGAGAGGAAAAAAAAAAGGAGGAUUUCAUGAGAAACAAAGUUGGGAAAAUUUCUGUAUGAUACCAUUUGGAAUUUGAUCAAGUUUCAACAACAAGAUAUGAGGCAUAGCCCUAGAUUGAAGGGCUGAUAUUGAUGGCACCUCCCAUGAGGGCUUAAUGGAAGAUUUGAAGAGAAAGUGGAGAAAAAUUUAGACUCUA